rnacentral:rRNA from 1 species
UGGGGAAUAUUGGACAAUGGGCGAAAGCCUGAUCCAGCCAUGCCGCGUGUGUGAAGAAGGUCUUCGGAUUGUAAAGCACUUUAAGUUGGGAGGAAGGGCAGUAAGCGAAUACCUUGCUGUUUUGACGUUACCGACAGAAUAAGCACCGGCUAACUCUGUGCCAGCAGCCGCGGUAAUACAGAGGGUGCAAGCGUUAAUCGGAAUUACUGGGCGUAAAGCGCGCGUAGGUGGUUCGUUAAGUUGAAUGUGAAAGCCCCGGGCUCAACCUGGGAACUGCUUCCAAAACUGGCGAGCUAGAGUAGGGCAGAGGGUGGUGGAAUUUCCUGUGUAGCGGUGAAAUGCGUAGAUAUAGGAAGGAACACCAGUGGCGAAGGCGACCACCUGGGCUCAUACUGACACUGAGGUGCGAAAGCGUGGGGAGCAAACAGG